GAUGAACGCUGGCGGCGUGCCUAAUACAUGCAAGUCGAGCGAACAGACGAGGAGCUUGCUCCUCUGACGUUAGCGGCGGACGGGUGAGUAACACGUGGAUAACCUACCUAUAAGACUGGGAUAACUUCGGGAAACCGGGGCUAAUACCGGAUAAUAUAUUGAACCGCAUGGUUCAAUAGUGAAAGACGGUUUUGCUGUCACUUAUAGAUGGAUCUGCGCCGCAUUAGCUAGUUGGUAAGGUAACGGCUUACCAAGGCAACGAUGCGUAGCCGACCUGAGAGGGUGAUCGGCCACACUGGAACUGAGACACGGUCCAGACUCCUACGGGAGGCAGCAGUAGGGAAUCUUCCGCAAUGGGCGAAAGCCUGACGGAGCAACGCCGCGUGAGUGAUGAAGGUCUUCGGAUCGUAAAACUCUGUUAUUAGGGAAGAACAAAUGUGUAAGUAACUAUGCACGUCUUGACGGUACCUAAUCAGAAAGCCACGGCUAACUACGUG
rnacentral:rRNA from 1 species